GCUUCAGUUUGGACACUGAAGCCAGCAUCUCACAAUAACCAACAGUAACGAGCACACCUGUGCACACCUGGAUGGCAGCGCAGGAGCAGCCGGGGAGAACACCUGUAUCCCCUACAGGGGCGAUUCGAGUGCCAGACCCGUGCCGCCGUUUGGAAGGUGAUUUUUUUUGGCGGGGGAACAGGAAGGGAAGAAUGGAAGAGGCACAGCACUGGUGAUGGGCGGAUUAGACCCUGCAACCCCCUACAGCCCCCAACCCCCCCCCAGCUCGCACCUGAGGCCGUAGAGCACGGUACCGUCGGGGUGCAGGCGGAUCAUGCGGUUCUUGACGGUGACGCCGUGCACGAAAGACUUCUUGUCG